ACCUGGUUGAUUCUGCCAGUAGUCAUAUGCUUGUCUCAAAGAUUAAGCCAUGCAUGUCUAAGUAUAAGCGUUAUACAAAGUGAAACUGCGAAUGGCUCAUUAAAUCAGUUAUAGUUUAUUUGAUGAAGGAAAAAGCUACAUGGAUAACUGUGGUAAAUCUAGAGCUAAUACAUGCCUUGUAAUGCCCCGACUUCGGAAGGGGUGCAUUUAUUAGAUUAAAUCCAAUGCCUUCGGGCUUUGGGGAGUCAUAAUAACUUUACCAAUCGCAUGGGCUAGUCCCGGCGAUGCUUCAUUCAAAUAUCUGCCCUAUCAACUUUGAUGGUACGGUAGUGGCCUACCAUGGUUGUAACGGGUAACGGGGAAUAAGGGUUCGAUUCCGGAGAGGGAGCCUGAGAAACGGCUACCACAUCCAAGGAAGGCAGCAGGCGCGCAAAUUAUCCAAUCCCGACACGGGGAGAUAGUGACAAAAAAUAACGAUACAGGGCUUUUUAAAGGUCUUGUAAUUGGAAUGAGUACAAUUUAAAUCCCUUAACGAGGAACAAUUGGAGGGCAAGUUUGGUGCCAGCAGCCGCGGUAAUUCCAACUCCAAUAGCGUAUAUUAAAGUUGUUGCAGUUAAAAAGCUCGUAGUUGAAUUUGGGCCCCGGCUGGGUGGUCCGCCGCAAGGCGUGUACUGCCUUUCAAGCUGGGGCUUACUCCCAUUGGUGAACUCUGGUGAGUCUUUGGCUCGCCAGGGGAACCAGGGAAUUUACUUUGAAAAAAUUAGAGUGUUCAAAGCAGGCCUAACGGCUCGAAUAGAUUAGCAUGGAAUAAGGGAAUAGGACGUUGCGAUCCUGUUUCGUUGGUUUUAAGGAUCGCCGUAAUGAUCAAUAGGGACAGCUCGGGGGCAUUAGUAUUCACAAGCUAGAGGUGAAAUUCUUGGAUUUUGUGAAGACUAACUUCUGCGAAAGCAUUUGCCAAGGAUGUUUUCAUUAAUCAAGAACGAAGGUUAGGGGAUCGAAAACGAUUAGAUACCGUUGUAGUCUUAACAGUAAACUAUGCCAGCUAGGGAUCGGUCGGCGCUUUAAUUUACUAUGGCCCGAUCGGCACCUUUGCGAGAAAUCAAAGCAUUUGGUUCUGGGGGGAGUAUGGUCGCAAGCUGAAACUUAAAGAAAUUGACGGAAGGGCACCACCAGGAGUGGAGCCUGCGGCUUAAUUUGACUCAACACGGGGAAACUCACCAGGUCCAGACAUAAGAAGGAUUGACAGAUUGAUAGCGCUUUCAUGAUUUUAUGGGUGGUUG
rnacentral:rRNA from 1 species